rnacentral:tRNA from 1 species
AAUAAUGUAGCUUAAAAUAAAGCGUUAAAUUGUAAAUUUAAACAUAGAUAUAAAUUAUUUCAUUAUUA